rnacentral:rRNA from 1 species
ACUCCUACGGGAGGCAGCAGUGGGGAAUAUUGCACAAUGGGGGAAACCCUGAUGCAGCGACGCAGCGUGCGGGAUGACGGCCUUCGGGUUGUAAACCGCUUUCAGCAGGGAAGAAGCGCAAGUGACGGUACCUGCAGAAGAAGUACCGGCUAACUACGUGCCAGCAGCCGCGGUAAUACGUAGGGUACGAGCGUUGUCCGGAAUUAUUGGGCGUAAAGAGCUCGUAGGUGGUUGGUCACGUCUGCUGUGGAAACGCAACGCUUAACGUUGCGCGUGCAGUGGGUACGGGCUGACUAGAGUGCAGUAGGGGAGUCUGGAAUUCCUGGUGUAGCGGUGAAAUGCGCAGAUAUCAGGAGGAACACCGGUGGCGAAGGCGGGACUCUGGGCUGUAACUGACACUGAGGAGCGAAAGCAUGGGGAGCGAACAGGAUUAGAUACCCUGGUAGCGAGUAG